rnacentral:lncRNA from 1 species
UAAAUUGCAUUAUAUACAUAAAUUUUUUCUUUGAUACCAAUGAAUUGCCCAUUUAGUUGUGUUACCCUUCAAGCAUCAAGAAUCUAAAGUUCACACAAAGAACUCAACUUUUGUAGUCACAUAAAAGGAAGAAAGGAGCAUCAAGAAUCUAAAGUUAAAAAAAAAAAUUAACUAUUUCAAAGACUGUGAAACACCUUCAGUAACUAAUAAAAACUUAGAUGUGUAGAGUUUAAUAAAAUAAAUAAAUCUAAAGUUCAGAACUUUAGAGUAAUUCAACAACGAAACAAUGGAAGUAGGUUACUGCAAAAAAGAGUAACAGUCAUUGCGUCUCUUACGUGAUCACUGAAGAGUUCAACAUUUCACUUUGAGGUAUCUCCGUCUCUUACUGAAGUCUUCAUCAUCUAUGUUAAAUCUGACUAUUCUUAAGGAGUCUCCAAACCUCUUAGUCCUCUUACUCAUCUCCUACUCUUUCUAUUCCCAGACAAAAAGAUAUUUUCAUGAAAAUUUCUUUCUUGAAGAGGCUGUCUUCCCGCAAGAUUGUGUCACUAAAGAUUUAACUUGUAAAGAGGCUUCAAUUGAAUGUCCAACUUAGGAAGUUCAUCUUCAUCCUCUAACUAAAAGUUGAGGACAACUUUCUAUAUUAAUCCACAUCGACCCACUGGUACACAGUUUAAAGAAGAAAAAAUAGAGUGACUCUGAUUUGAUACUGCAACAAUGAUUAAAAAGAGGAGUUAAGAAUGAAAAAUGAAAGGUGAUGAUUGAAAUUCCAAUAUAUCUUCAAGGGCAGGAUGAUCAACAAAUGUUGUUGCUAGGCAGAGAGCUAACCAUCAUCUUGUUGAAUGAAUCUUGCAGCAAAAAGGAUUUCCCUUUGUUUCUAUACCUUAUUUUCUCCCUGCACAAGGAAAAAGUAAAAAUCUAUUUCAAACUCAUAAAAGUUGCAUAUCAUCACCCUGCAAAUGCUUUAAGAAACGGAAGGAGAAUCCUUUAAAGUCAUGAGGCUUGAAAGAGAAAACAACUUCUGUAGACUGCCAUUUCAAAUGCCCAUUACUUCAAUAUCCUCCAUUGGGAACAACGGAUUCAACCCUUGCUUAGACAUCAUGUGCCUAGAAGAGACACAGAACAAAUAAGAUAGUAAAGUUAAUAACAACUUGACUUAUGGCUGCUGGAAUCUUGAUUAAGGAAAUCAUAUCAAUAUAUUGAGAAUCACGAUAUGUUGGAACAAAAUACCACAUCUAGAAUUAAGUCGUUCGAACAGCCAAGUAAAUCAUCGCCAUCGAUCGUUUUGACAGUAAGCUGGGGAGGAUGUACCACUUUAGUUACGGGUUCAAUUGGACUCAUAACUUUCGAAGUGAAUAAUAAAUUUAUGUGUAUAACGUCACUAAAAUUGCAAUAGAUAGUAGACAUGAAACCAUAACUUAACAAAUAUAAUAGAUGUAAUGCUAAAUACCUUAACACUUGAACCCAUAGAGUUUCAAUUCUGGAUCCGCCUCUAACAGUAAGGUAAGUCUUCGCUACAACUACAGUCGUUUGUGGUAACAACCAUCAAUAACAUUAUCAUCCUUCUCAAUCUUAGCCGUUAAAAAGGCUAUUGAAAAGUUCUUUUAUUUAUUUAUAUUCAAAAGGACGAAGGUAAAGACUCCAAUUCAAGGACUGCUACUCUAGAAUCUACCAUUAAUCUGAGAAGUCAUAUCUUCCGGUGAAUUUCUCAAAUGAAAAGCACCAAAUAUCCAUUUCUCUUGUCUUUAGUAAUUCAUAUUCUCCACUUUUGAGCUCAUUUUAAAAUCCCUGAAAGUAGAAAACAUAUGGAGAAGAAAAAAAAUAAGCAUCAGCAAGAAAACAAAAAAAUUGCAACACAAUAGGCAAUCUUUCAUCUUACAAUUCCCCUUUUUUUUUCUUUCUCUAAAGAAGAUCAAGUUGGUAACAAAGUCAUAUAUUGUGAUACAAUUACAAGCUCUCUUUAUAGAAGUGAUUACCUUUAAGGUCUUAAAGGAUUUAGAGAAAAGAACUUUAGCAAGACAAAGAGAAAAAGAUAUCAACAUGUCUUCUUCUAUUUUUCACUCUCACUCGUCCUUUCUCAAUUGGUGAAAUAGUAGAAAGAAUGUAAAGAUAGGAAGGCUAAAAGAUAUUUAGAAAAUUCAAAUCUUAAAAGUAAGGAAGAAUGUAUAUAAUAAUAGAAACUUGCCUGAAAAGGAAUGCGCCCUUGUUUCUUAUGUCACUAUUUAUUUUUCUGCAAUUAACAAAAGGCCAAAAAAUUAAAAUCUCCAAUCAGUUGAUGGUAAAAGUAUGCAGUCGACUUUUUGAUAAACAUUUCAAUCAAAUGAGUAGUAAAGUAUAUUGCACAUAUAGAUAUGUAGUUCAGUAGUUUUGUUUUCGCAUUGAAGACUGGGAUUAGUAAUUUACAAUGUGAUACAUGAUAGCACACAAAUGUAUGAAAGAAUAUAGAGAUUAGCAGGGAGUGAACGAAAUUUAAACUUUGGGGGAAAAAGAACAGGAAAAAGAAGAUAGAGAGGGUGGAGUAUAGAGAAAUUCGGCAAAAGUAGAGAGAAAUAGUGUUAAAAGAGAGAUGAAAGAGUAUGAAGUAUUUGGAAGGAUAUGGAAAGAGAGUAAAGAAUCAUUAUGGGAAUAAACUGAUGUGUAUGUGCAUGAAAAUAGGGAGUGAAGAAUCGAUGUGGGAAGGGACGGCUGGGUAUCUGAAUCGGUUUGUUAGCAUUAUGUAGAAAGAUAUGUUGUUCGGCAGUGAAAUAAAAGGCGAAAAACUAUAGAGGGGGAGAAAAUGCAUUUCCUGCUAAUUGGAAAUGCCAUGUAACUGAGUGUAUGUUCCUCUCUCUAUAUAUACAUUACAGAUUAUAAUAAAACUGACUUGCUCCAGGUAAGCGUGUCUUUUGGAGGGGGAGAAGAGGACUUGGAUAAUGGCGAGAAGGCAAUAGUACAAUAAAAUUGGUAAAUACAGCUCUUGGCCAUCAUAAUUAUGCCGUUGUAUUUUUUUUUUCUGAUCAUUAAAAUAUUGUAGCAAUGUUAAAUGCCUAUGCCACUUCAAACAGAACACAAAAGUGUAGAGAAGAUGGAAAAACUAUAUGAGUAAACUAUAACCUUCAUUGAGAGAUGUUGUUGUCGAACUUCGUUACCAAAAAAGAUAAUAGCAGUCCUUCAGAUAAAUAACUUCGUUCGUUAUUCAUUAGGCAAAUAAUAAUGGUAAUAGUAGUAUUUAAGAAUGUUUAGAGCAGUAGUUAUCAAUUUGUGCAGAAACAGUAGUUACGAAUUGUGCAUAAAUCGCAAUGGCGAAAAUUAUCUGGAGUGUACCUCAAUCUCGUAACAACGUUUUGUCUUCGCAAUCAUAGUGUCCCCACACCUAUAAAAUUAGAUUAGCCAAGUAUAUCAGUAUCUUUACCCUGCACAGGCUUAAAGCAUAGAUUUAUUUUUGGCUGCAUGUUAUUCUUAUAUUUGCGGUACAACAACAAUUGAAGCUACUUUCAUGCUUCCUAAUUAAAUGCAACAGUUGGAAUGUUGAGUCGACAGCAGUAGUUGCUGAUUCAAGGGGCAAGAAACAUCCAUUUUUCCCAAUAGAAUUAGAGUAGGCAAAUAUAAAUAUAUUAGUUACUCAUGGUAUUAAAAUUAUGUUGUUGUAAUUUUUUAAAAUAGAGUAGGCAAAUAAGAUUACAGUACAAUUGGGCGAACACAAGAAAAUUGAAAGAUAAAUGGAACUGAUGAAAAAAGAAUUACAAAAAAAACAAAUAGCAGUGAGGAGAAAAGAGAGCACUCGGCACAUUGGCACUUCGCAUAAAAGAAAAUACUCAAUUCACACACAACAUGGAGAACAAAUAAUUAAUUGGUAGCAUACAGAAGCACGAACACAAUUUCCAAGGUUCCAUUUUAUUCUCAUAAAGUACACAAAGAUAGAAGCUUUUUUUGCAGUUUAAAGAGAUGGAGGAGUACAAAGAAAGCGAAAGAGAUGGAGGAGUACAGAGAAAGUGAAAGGGAUGGAGGAGUACAGAGAAACUGAAAGAAAACAGAGUGUAAAGAAUCGGUGUGAAGACGCGGCUGUGCAUAUGAAGAGGUUUGUGUAUUUUUGAGGGGUUUUUUUGUUAUUAGCGCGGAGGGGAGUAUCACCUUUAAAAUGCUAAGCAAGUGUAGAGGCAGGAAACGGGAUUUCCUGCUGAAUGGGAGCGCCAAGUGACCGGGCUUAGGGCCCUCAGUUAUAUAUAUAUAUAUAUAUAUAUAUAUAUAUAUAUAUAUAUAUAUAUAUAUAUAUAUUAUUAAUUAUAUAUAUUGAAAGAAANNNNNGCGUCAAGUAGUACGGACGUUAGGUCCUCAGUUAUAUAUAUAUAUAUAUAUAUAUAUAAUUUACUGAAAAUAUAUUCAGGGAAAAUUUCAGGGAGGACAAGAAAUAGCAAUCAAAAGGUUAUCAGCCCAAUCAGGUCAAGGGAUAAAUGAAUUUAAGAAUGAAGUAGUAUUGAUUGCAAGACUUCAGCAUUGAAAUCUUGUUAGACUUUUUGGUUACUGCGUCCACGGGAAUGAAAAGAUCUUACUCUACGAAUAUAUGCCAAACAAAAGCUUAGACGCCCUCAUAUUUGGUAAGCACUCUUCGCGUAAGAUUAAUUCCUUAUUCUAAAUGUAAAUUGAACUUCUAUUCUUUUUUUAUUGAUAAUUACAAUCUUUUUGUAGGAUAACUACACAAGACGAAAGAUAUCAUGUGUUAUUAGAUUGGAAGAAGAGAUUUUCUAUCAUCUUGGGUAUUGCUCGAGGGCUUGUUUAUUUGCACCACGAUUCAAGGUUAAGGAUCAUUCAUAGAGAUUUAAAAACAAGCAAUGUAUUAUUAGAUAAAGAGAUGAACCCCAAGAUUUCAGAUUUUGGCUUAGCAAGGAUUCAAGGUUAAGGAUCAUUCAUAGAGAUUUAAAAACAAGCAAUGUAUUAUUAGAUAAAGAGAUGAACCCCAAGAUUUCAUAUUGUCCAAGGGAAUAAUAUGGAAGCAAAUACAAACAAAAUUGUUGGAACAUAGUAAGCUUAUCUUGUAUCGCAAAGAUUCUUAUAUUUAUACUUGACUACAUUUAGUCCAUCACUUCUCAAAUUUUGCGUAAUAUCAUUAAUUAUUUGGAGCUCUGCAGCGGUUACAUGUCUCCGGAAUAUGCAUUAAAUGGAUUAUUCUCAAUCAAGUCAGAUGUUUUCAGUUUUGGAGUAGUUAUGCUUGAGAUUAUCUGCGGUAAGAAAAAUAUAGGAUUUUAUCAGCAGGAGGAAGCCUUAAACCUCCUAGGUUAUACAACAACAACAACAACCCAGGAAAAUCCCACAAGUGGGGUCUGGGGAGGGUAGUAUGUACGCAGACCUUACCCCUACCCCAAAGGAGUAGAGAGGUUGUUUCUGAAAGACCCUCGGCUCAAGAUAAUAAGAAAAACAAGAAAAACAAAAAGGGGGAAUAUUAGUUUUACCAUAGAGAUCAUAGGACAAAUAGGAACCUAAAAUGCAUAAGAAAAAUACAAGGCUGAAAUGAUGGCUAGUAAAUAGAUCUAGCACCGAAAAGAGAAAAUAUUAAGACACGACAAUGCCCCUAGUAAUUUUCGAUUCAAACCUUACCAAACUAGGCUCACAAUGGAAUAAAGUAUUGCAAGACUCAACUAGCUCCUAGCCUACAACUGUAAUACUCGACCUCCACAAAUUUCUAUCAAGUGUCAUGUCCUCGGAAAUCUGAAGUCUCGCCAUAUCCUGCCUGAUCACUUCUCCCCAAUACUUCUUAGGCCGCCCUCUACCUCUUCUCGUGCCUUCCACAACCAGCCGUUCACACCUCCUCACUGGAGCAUCUGGGCUUCUCCUCAUUACAUGCCCGAACCAUCUGAGCCGCGCUUCUCGUAUCUUGUCAUCAAUGGGAGCCACGUGCACCUUCUCCCGAAUAUCAUCAUUUCUAAUCUUGUCCAUCCUGGUGUGCCCGCACAUCCACCUCAACAUUCUCAUUUCAGCUACUUUCAUCUUAUGUGAGAUCUUAACAGGCCAACACUCUGCCUCAUACAUCAUGGCCGGUCUAACCACCGCUUUAUAGAACUUACCUUUGAGUAUUGUUGGCACUCUUUUGUCACACAAAACUCCGGAUGCUAACCUCCACUUCAUCCAUCCUACCCCAAUACAGUGUGCGACAUCUUCAUCAAUCUCCCCUCCCCCAUGGAUAACUGACCCAAGGUACUUGGAGCUUCCUCUACUCGGGAUAACCUGUGAUUCAAGCCUCACACCCACGCCCACUUUCCCCAGAUCAGUGCUGAAAAUACACUCCAAGUAUUCCGUCUUCGUUCUACUCAGCUUGAAACCUUUAGACUCAAGAGUAUGUCUCCAAACUUCUAGUCUCUCGUUAACACCAGUUCGUGACUCAUCGAUCAGAACUAUGUCAUCGGCAAAUAGCAUGCACCAUGGCACCUCCCCCUGUAUAUGGUUUGUUAACACAUCCAUCACCUGGGCGAAUAAGAAUGGACUGAGCGCAGAGCCUUGGUGUAACCCCAUUUCAACCGGAAAGUGCUCAGAGUCGCCUCCUACCGUCCUAAUCUGAGUCUUAGCCCCAUCAUACAUGUCCCUAAUUGCUAUAAUAUAGGGAAUCGGCACACUUUUUGCCUCCAAGCAUCUCCAUAGAACUUCUCUAGGAACCUUGUGGUACGCUUUCUCCAAGUCAAUAAACACCAUGUGCAAAUCCUUCUUUCUCUCUCUGUACAGUUCCACCAACCUCCUAACAAGGUGUAUAGCUUCUGUGGUUGAACGACCCGGCAUGAACCCGAACUGGUUGUCUGAUAUAGACACUGUUAUCCUCACCCUUGCUUCAACGACCCUCUCCUAUACUUUCAUGGUAUGACUCAGUAAUUUGAUACCCCUAUAAUUAUUACAACUCUGGAUAUCACCUUUGUUCUUGUACAAUGGGACCACCGUACUCCACCUCCACUCGUCUGGCAUCCUCUUUGCCUUGAAAAUAAUAUUGAACAGCCCAGUCAACCACUCUAAACCUGCUCUCCCUACGCCCUUCCAAAAUUCCACUGGAAGGUUAUGUGAGUGAAAAUUUGUAAACUUUAAGUCCUCUUUGUUUUUUGUUUUUUUACGUGUCUUUUUUAUAAUAUUCAGUUUGGUAAUGAUGUUUCCUUUUUUCCUAACUCUAAAGUUACAUUUCAGGCAUAGAGAUUAUGGAAUGAAGGAAAUAUUGUGAGUUUGCUUGAUAAAUCUUUACUUGAAUCAUGCAACGAAGAAGAUGCAUGGAAAUGCAUUAAUAUCGCGCUCUUGUGUGUACAAGAAGAUGCUAGUGUUCGUCCAAGCAUGCCAGAUGUAAUUAUAAUGCUUAGUCGUCAAGGCAUUUCUCUUGCAAAAACUAGUAAACCUGCUUUUACAACAAGAAAAGCAUGCUUGUAUGUCUUUAGCAGUGUCAAACACCAUAACACUAUUUGCUAUGUCUUUAGACAAUGAAUUUGUUAACCAUGCAAUUACCAUGUCGUUGCAUCUUUCCCAAAAGGAGUAAUAAGGAGAGUUAGUUAGAGGUUUAGUGACUUUUCCUGUUAUGAUCCCUAGUUUGUUUUUAGCGGAGAGAACAGUAAGCAUAUUAUUACACCAAAUAACAAAACCAUUCCCAUCGAAAGGUGGAGACACUAAGUGUGCUCCAGGACUAUCAGAUGGAUGAACAUAGAAUGGGUAAGAUGGAUGUACAGUGAAGUCAUCAAAUCCAUCUAUCACAGAGGAAGGACUAGCAUCUGGACUUCCCAUGAUUUAACCCUAAAUUUGUAAAAUUUCUAAAAUUGAUACAAGAAACGCUCGAUUUUUACCAAUAUGUAGCAGGAUUGAGAAGAAUGUUACCAUCCUUCUUUGCAACCUAAAGAAGGUGAGGCCUUGAGAUCGAUAAUAUCGCUGAAAUUGCUGAAAUCAGCGGGAAUGAAGAAAUACCGGAGCAGAGUACCGGAGAACGGAGAUGACCAAAAUUACUGUAGGAAGCUCCAAAUAGCUGCAACAUAGAGUCAAAAAGCACCCUACCCCAAAGCUUCACUUCAAAUAUGACGACAAAUAGGAUCGACAGAACCGAAAAACUUCAUGGAAAUCGAUGAGGGUACCAUCGAUCGAAAGAGGAGAUCAAGGAUCAUCGAUUCCUUGCUCUGAUACCAUGUUAAUGGUAGAAAAUCGAGCUAUGAGAAAGAAUUUUGUGAAAAGAAACCCUAGAAUUGGAAAGAGAAGAGAGAGAACUUUUAUUUCAUUGUUGAUGUCUCUAGAAAAUACAGAAUGCCAGUCAACCUUUCUAGACUAUUC